rnacentral:rRNA from 1 species
AACCAGCUUAACUGGUUGAAUUCUGCAGAGACUGCCAGACUAGGGACCGGGAGAGGUGUGGGGUACUCUAGGGGUAGGGGUAAAAUCCUGUCAUCCUUAGAGGACCACCAGUUGCGAAGGCGCCACACUGGAACGGAUCCGACGGUCAGGGACGAAGCCUAGGGGCACGAACCGGAUUAGAUACCCGGGUAGUCCUAGGUGUAAACGCUGUGAACUUGGUGUCGGGGAUCCGCAAUGGGUCCCCGGUGCCGGAGUGAAGAUGUUAAGUUCACUGCCUGGGGAGUACGGUCGCAAGGCUGAAACUUAAAGGAAUUGGCGGGGGAGCACUGCAACGGGAGGAGCGUGCGGUUUAAUUGGAUUCAACGCCGGAAAACUCACCAAGGCCGACUGUUAGAUGAAGACCAGCGUAAUGAGCUUGUCGGAUUUUCAGAGAGGUGGUGCAUGGCCGUCGUCAGUUCGUACUGUAAAGCGUUCUGUUAAGUCAGAUAACGAACGAGACCCUCAUCUCUAUUUGCUACCCUGUCUCUCCGGAGGCGGCGCACUAUAGAGAGACCGCUGGUGUGAAACCAGAGGAAGGCGAGGGCAACGACAGGUCAGUAUGCCCCGAAUGUCUUGGGCUACACGCGCGCUACAAAGGACGGGACAAUGGGAAGCCAGGCCGAGAGGCCGAGCUAACCCGAAACCCGUUCAUAGUUCGGAUCGAGGGCUGUAACUCGCCCUCGUGAAGCUGGAUUCCGUAGUAAUCGUGUUUCAAUAUAGCACGGUGAAUAUGCCCCUGCUCCUUGCAC